AGUUCUCGUUGAUGAUUGGUGCUUGCACCGAGAUUCAACAUCGAACGAGUGGCGGACGGGUGAGUAACACGUGGGUAACCUGCCCUUAAGUGGGGGAUAACAUUUAGAAACAGAUGCUAAUACCGCAUAGAUCCAAGAACCGCAUGGUUCUUGGCUGAAAGAUGGCGUAAGCUAUCGCUUUUGGAUGGACCCGCGGCGUAUUAGCUAGUUGGUGAGGUAACGGCUCACCAAGGCGAUGAUACGUAGCCGAACUGAGAGGUUGAUCGGCCACAUUGGGACUGAGACACGGCCCAAACUCCUACGGGAGGCAGCAGUAGGGAAUCUUCCACAAUGGACGCAAGUCUGAUGGAGCAACGCCGCGUGAGUGAAGAAGGCUUUCGGGUCGUAAAACUCUGUUGUUGGAGAAGAAUGGUCGGCAGAGUAACUGUUGCCGGCGUGACGGUAUCCAACCAGAAAGCCACGGCUAACUACGUGCCAGCAGCCGCGGUAAUACGUAGGUGGCAAGCGUUAUCCGGAUUUAUUGGGCGUAAAGCGAGCGCAGGCGGUUUUUUAAGUCUGAUGUGAAAGCCCUCGGCUUAACCGAGGAAGCGCAUCGGAAACUGGGAAACUUGAGUGCAGAAGAGGACAGUGGAACUCCAUGUGUAGCGGUGAAAUGCGUAGAUAUAUGGAAGAACACCAGUGGCGAAGGCGGCUGUCUGGUCUGUAACUGACGCUGAGGCUCGAAAGCAUGGGUAGCGAACAGGAUUAGAUACCCUGGUAGUCCAUGCCGUAAACGAUGAAUGCUAGGUGUUGGAGGGUUUCCGCCCUUCAGUGCCGCAGCUAACGCAUUA
rnacentral:rRNA from 1 species